GCUAAACCUCCCAUUGGAGAACAGAAAAUUUAAUGAGCUUUUAAUGGAAUGCAAUGCUCAGAGUAGUAAAUUAUUUGUUAGUUGACGAUGCAAUCAGCAUGCUGAUUAAGGUUGCUUGGUUUUUUACUAAACAUUAACUGAAUGAAAACGGGUAGUCCUUGUUCUGCUUGGGGGGCUUUAAGGAAGCAAAUGGACUUUCAGAACAGAGAUUGUCAAUAAAGGUAUCUCUGCUGAGGAAGCUAAUUUUAGAGAGACAAUGUAUACAAAGUACUUGGCACAAAGGCCAAUGUACUAAAUGCUCCAGGAAUAGAACUACAGGCACUCCUAAUUACUGAAUGAAUAUUCUUCUUGAGCUCUGGAUGUGUCCUCAUGACACAGACCACACUGGACACCAACUCAGAUUUUGGGGGAAGGUUUCACGACCGUUAAGUGCAGACGUGCUGAUCACUGGGCCCCUUGAUACACAGCGGCUAAGCUCUCCUCUCAAGCUGGUGGGGCUGAUGCUGCCUUGAAGUGCUGAGAGAAGCCAUGACAAUUCACGGCAAGGUCUUUAUUGUUAGAACUCUUGCAUCAUGACAUCUUUAUUCAUGUGAAAAUACAGGAUGAAUUUCAACUAUAUGAUAUUGUUUAUGUUCAUCAGAAAUGUUAUUUGUCUUUACAAAGUCUAGUUUCAAUGAACCGACUAUGUAAUGGAUAUUAAAUAAACAUGGAAUUUUACAUGUUCA
rnacentral:lncRNA from 1 species